UUCUCUUUAUAUAAAAGUAGCAUGCAAAUAGAUCAACUUUUGGCAUUCAGCCAAAAUGAAACAGAUCGAAAGCAAUAGAUUCGGGUUACAUCGCUUGAAGCAGUUGUAAACGUAAAAGUUAGAGAAACGCAGGGAUUGGUGCUUCAAUUUUAAAUGUUUAAUCCUUACUGAAGAUUUAGGUGGAAUGACAUUGUUCAGCUGGCCUUUGCAGCACAGGUACACCAGCAUUUAAGAAAACUGGACCAGCUACACCACUUGUCACCCCUGGAGGAAGACUGGUGAUUCUAGGACCAUGGACAUUUGUAUCAGAUUCUGUGAUAGUAGCUGUAGCAGUAGUUACUGGUGGUUGUACUUGACCAGAUAUAAAACUUCCAACAACAUUGUUUGAGGAAGAUGGUGACAUAUGUCUUGGUGAUUUCAUCACAUUCUGUGUAAUUAUAUCAGAUGGUGCCUGA